UGCAGUCGCACGAGAACGCUUCAGCUUGCUGAAGUUAGUAAAGUGGCGCACGGGUGAGUAACGCGUGGGUAAUCUACCCUUGAAUUGGGGAUAACCCGCCGAAAGGCGGGCUAAUACCGAAUGACAUCGUAAAUAUUUAGGUGCUUAUGAUCAAAGAUGGCCUCUACAUGUAAGCUAUUGUUUGGGGAUGAGCCCGCGUACCAUUAGCUUGUUGGUAGGGUAAUGGCCUACCAAGGCUACGAUGGUUAGCUGGUCUGAGAGGAUGAUCAGCCACACUGGAACUGACACACGGUCCAGACUCCUACGGGAGGCAGCAGUGAGGAAUUUUGCGCAAUGGGGGAAACCCUGACGCAGCAACGCCGCGUGAGUGAUGAAGGCUUUCGGGUCGUAAAGCUCUGUCAAGUGGGAAGAACCCAUAUGGUGACAAUACUGCCAUAUGUUGACGGUACCGCUGAAG
rnacentral:rRNA from 1 species